rnacentral:rRNA from 1 species
AGAGUUUGAUCAUGGCUCAGAUUGAACGCUGGCGGCAGGCCUAACACAUGCAAGUCGAGCGGUAGCACAGAGAGCUUGCUCUCGGGUGACGAGCGGCGGACGGGUGAGUAAUGUCUGGGAAACUGCCUGAUGGAGGGGGAUAACUACUGGAAACGGUAGCUAAUACCGCAUAAUGUCGCAAGACCAAAGUGGGGGACCUUCUGGCCUCAUGCCAUCAGAUGUGCCCAGAUGGGAUUAGCUAGUAGGUGGGGUAACGGCUCACCUAGGCGACGAUCCCUAGCUGGUCUGAGAGGAUGACCAGCCACACUGGAACUGAGACACGGUCCAGACUCCUACGGGAGGCAGCAGUGGGGAAUAUUGCACAAUGGGCGCAAGCCUGAUGCAGCCAUGCCGCGUGUGUGAAGAAGGCCUUCGGGUUGUAAAGCACUUUCAGCGGGGAGGAAGGCGNNNNNNNNNNNNNNNNNNNNNNNNNNUAAGGUUAAUAACCUCAUCGAUUGACGUUACCCGCAGAAGAAGCACCGGCUAACUCCGUGCCAGCAGCCGCGGUAAUACGGAGGGUGCAAGCGUUAAUCGGAAUUACUGGGCGUAAAGCGCACGCAGGCGGUCUGUCAAGUCGGAUGUGAAAUCCCCGGGCUCAACCUGGGAACUGCAUUCGAAACUGGCAGGCUAGAGUCUUGUAGAGGGGGGUAGAAUUCCAGGUGUAGCGGUGAAAUGCGUAGAGAUCUGGAGGAAUACCGGUGGCGAAGGCGGCCCCCUGGACAAAGACUGACGCUCAGGUGCGAAAGCGUGGGGAGCAAACAGGAUUAGAUACCCUGGUAGUCCACGCCGUAAACGAUGUCGAUUUGGAGGUUGUGCCCUUGAGGCGUGGCUUCCGGAGCUAACGCGUUAAAUCGACCGCCUGGGGAGUACGGCCGCAAGGUUAAAACUCAAAUGAAUUGACGGGGGCCCGCACAAGCGGUGGAGCAUGUGGUUUAAUUCGAUGCAACGCGAAGAACCUUACCUGGUCUUGACAUCCACAGAACUUNNNNNNNNNNNNNNNNNNNNUUGGUGCCUUCGGGAACUGUGAGACAGGUGCUGCAUGGCUGUCGUCAGCUCGUGUUGUGAAAUGUUGGGUUAAGUCCCGCAACGAGCGCAACCCUUAUCCUUUGUUGCCAGCGGUUCGGCCGGGAACUCAAAGGAGACUGCCAGUGAUAAACUGGAGGAAGGUGGGGAUGACGUCAAGUCAUCAUGGCCCUUACGACCAGGGCUACACACGUGCUACAAUGGCAUAUACAAAGAGAAGCGACCUCGCGAGAGCAAGCGGACCUCAUAAAGUAUGUCGUAGUCCGGAUUGGAGUCUGCAACUCGACUCCAUGAAGUCGGAAUCGCUAGUAAUCGUAGAUCAGAAUGCUACGGUGAAUACGUUCCCGGGCCUUGUACACACCGCCCGUCACACCAUGGGAGUGGGUUGCAAAAGAAGUAGGUAGCUUAACCUUCGGGAGGGCGCUUACCACUUUGUGAUUCAUGACUGGGGUGAAGUCGUAACAAGGUAACCGUAGGGGAACCUGCGGUUGGAUCACCU